CGAUCUCUCAGACAGAAAGCGUCCCCAACCAACCCGGAUGCCCCUGUCGGUCUCCACCAACUGCCCAAUUCAAAUCACACACACAUUGUCCGUCUCUCCCAUACCUGUGGGACUCCCUCUUGUCCAGACAGCCCAGUUGACUGGUGAUUCAGAGUGGAGAUCGACGGGAAGCCGCCGGUAAACGCUUAAAUCUCCCUCCGGGUUGGAUUCAGAGCUCGCUGCGGGUGCUGAAUGUGCUAUUUUCGUAUGUCUAGACUUCUCAGGACUGAGAAGUGCCCUAUGCUGAUCAUCACUGCUCGGCUACUCCCCCUCUUAACUGUACCCUUCACCCACCAGAGGAUUCAAAGGACAGUUGGCAGUGUUGCCUACAGGGGACUGAGAACCAUGGAGCCCCUCAGGGCCCCUCAGGAUCCACAAGUUAACACCACCCUGUCUGGGGUAGACACCAAGCCUCAGCCCCCUACUUCUGGAGCCCCAAUGGAGGGCUUGAACCCAAGUCCAGCUGCCUUAACACCUGACCAGGAGAUGCCCCCGACAACGGGGUUGUUGCCAGGGAGACAGUUGUCAGGGAGGGCAAGGCAGCCAUAUUGUUUCCCAGUGCCAACGAGGUGUUUUACAACCCUGUGCAGGAGUUCAACAGAGAUCUGACGUGUGCGGUGGUUACAGAGUUUGCCCGGGAGCAGAUGGCCCGGAGGGGGGUGAAGGUGGUAGUGCCAGGGGAGAAGGAGAGGGUGGUGGUCAAUCUAGCUGACGAGAAGAAAGAGGAGACAGAGAUGCAGACAGGGGGAGGAAGGAGGAGAGGAGCCAGUCGUAACUGCUUCAGUGGGGGAGCGCUGUAAGAAUGGUCUGCGUGUGCUGGAGGGUCUGGCAGCGUCUGGCCUACGCUCUGUGAGGUUUGCUCUGGAGGUGCCUGGUCUACGUAGCGUCACGGCUAACGACUUCUCAGCCAAGGCUGCUGCCCUCAUCGCCCGCAAUGCCCAGCACAACGGAGUCACACACCUACUGCAGGCCAGCCAGAGAGAUGCCAGCAUGCUGAUGUAUGAGAUGCGGGGGAAGAAGGACCGCUAUGAUGUCAUAGACCUGGACCCCUACGGAAGCCCCGCCCCCUUCCUGGAUGCCGCCGUCCAGGCUGUCGGUGAAGGAGGUCUGUUGUGUGUGACAUGUACUGACAUGGCUGUGAUGGCUGGUAACAGUGGGGAGACCUGCUACAGCAAAUACGGCUCUGUCUCCAUCAAAGCCAAGUACUGUCAUGAGAUGGCUCUGCGUAUCAUCCUACACAGUCUGGACCAGAGAGCUGGUGUGUACCAACGGUACAUCCACCCCCUGCUCUGUGUCAGUGUGGACUUCUACAUACGAGUGUUUGUCAGGGUACACACUGGACAGGCCAUGGUCAAAAACUCAGCAAGUAAACAAGCGUUGGUGUAUAACUGUGUUGGCUGUGGCUCGUUCCACUUACAACGACUGGGCAAGAGGACGACUCAGGGAAACCAUAUAAAGUACUCUGCAGCCACUGGACCGCCGGUCGGAGCAGAGUGUGAACACUGUGGACACAGACACCAGCUGGGUGGUCCUAUCUGGGGUGAGGCCCUCCAUGACGUGAGCUUCGUUCAGAAGGUUCUAUCUGCCGUGUCUGGGAACCCGUCCCGCUUUGGAACCGCCCGUCGCAUAGAGGGCAUGCUCAGCAUGGUCACAGAGGAGCUGGAGGAUGUGCCUCUAUACUACACAGUGGACAACCUGAGCAGCACUAUACACUGCAGCACUCCCCCUCUGCUCCAAUUCAGGUCGGCUCUGCUUCAUGCAGGCCACAGGGUGUCCUUGUCUCAUGCCUGUAAGAAUGCUCUAAAGACGGAUGCUCCUCCCAGGGUCCUCUGGGACGUCAUGCGAUGCUGGGAAAAGUCCAAUCCAGUGAAGAGAGACAGACUGUCAGAGAGCAGCCCUGCUCACCACAUCCUCAAUACUGAACCCAUUCUACAGGCGUGUUUUGAUGUGAGGGAGGAUGCCAAUCCCCAGUCUCGCCGUCGCCACCUCACCCGCUUCCAGGAGAACCCUGAGCCUUUCUGGGGGCCCAAGGCCCGUGCCAAUGCUGGUGGUGGAGGUAUCUCAUCAGACCUGGAGGACAGGAGGAAACAGGGUCAAAACAAGAGGAAGAACCAGAUCACAGACGCCACCCAGCUUAAGAGCUUCCCCUGCAAGAGGUUCAGGAAGGGUAAAUGCACACACGGUGAAAAAUGCUGUUACUCCCAUGACCUGGAACAGAAUAACCAGAUGGAGUGAUGGUGGAGCGAGUCUCCUCUUUUCUUCCCUCCCACUUGGUAUCCUCAUGUCCAGCUCAGCAGAAUCUGUCCACUAAGGUAUACUGGACACAAUCAUGACGAAGCAACCAGGUGAAACUCCAGGCCCCAGACAUAACUAACUUUGAACUCGUUAUGACUCGGGGGUGAAGUUUCCCCCUUGGUACCAAUCUAGGAUCAGCUUCCCCUCCCCCAAUCCUCUACAUUACCAUUAGUGGGGAGAAUGCAAAACUGACCCAGUAUCAGCAUCUAUGGGCAACUUCAUAAUGGGAUGUCUAGUUGGCCCUGUAUUGGAAAUACACACACUGGCUUCAUACUGAAGUGAAGCAUCAAUUCUGUUUUAUUUAUGACUGUUGUGACAGUCUAAUAAAAGUCUUUAUGGCAA